UUUACAAAAGGCAAAUAAUCUGCCAAAAUACCUAAUCGCGUAGGUCUGAAAAAUCAGGCCCAUCCUAAAUAAACUAGUAGGAUGUCCAAGCGCG
rfam:Marine metagenome 1095901061875, whole genome shotgun sequence.